AGGGGGGUGGGUGGCACUCUGAAGGCUAUCCAGCACGAUCCGGCCCUUUCCCUUGGCAAUUCUGUGACACUUUCCAAUCUAAGGCCGACAGAGCAAGGCAACCAGAUUUUUUUCUACAGCACCCUCCCAGGUGAGCAGUGGGCCUGGAGCCCUUCUGUAACCUGGCAUCUGUAGGUCUUCUCAUUAAGAACGAGAGUCAGAAGAGGAAAGGACUUAACACUCAUUACAACUCAGUCAUGGGGCUCUGAAGCGUCCCGAGGUCCCCUCUUUCCCACCCUACCUGUCGGCUGCGCGGCUCCACCACUUGCCAAACUAGGAGGAUUAAGUCGGUCUCGUCCGAGCCUAGGUCCGGCCCCAGCGCACCGGCAGUGGCCCCGAACAAAACCACCAGCGACUGAGGCACUCUGAGUCCUCCGCAAAAGAAUGUGCAGGAUCAGAGGCCUCUUUCCAUUCUGCAAGGGUCACGCAAGACCCAUGGAAUUCAACAGGAGGCAAUCUAGGGACUAUAAAAGGUCGCGACGUCUGGCUUGAGGUUAAUGGAAGUUACAAAGGGUCAAAAGCCGACAGUGAGCGCUACCAGGUGUCGGGUCGGCGUAGUGCCGGCAGUGCAAGGCGCACGUUACUGUGGACCUGAAGGCUCAGGCCUUGGUGCCAAGGUAGGAAAAUCGUGCUUAAACUUUAGAGAGCUGUAUCCUAAAUGAAGCCGUGUCUGCUGGUAGAGAUCUGGAAGUUCAGCCUACCAACCCCACUUGGGGUUUGCCUGCUUGUUUUUGUCUCUCUUGGAUGAUGAUAGAAGUGUUAUCUGGCUAUUGAAAGCACUCCAGCAGAGAGCGGCUAGAGUUGAGAUGUGUAGAGUUGAGUCUGCAUCCCCCAACCCAGUUCAGAAGAGUCCCAUUCAUCCCAUGCAGUUUGGUGAAACUCCCUUACUGUUGUUUCCAGGCCGCCCUGUGGGCUCAGGAUAGUUUCCCACCUACUCGACUGUAAUUAGUACUCUGGCGAGAGUAAAAAGGUACUGGCGUGGGACUUAGAAUACAGGAUGCCACCGGCUGAAGAAGAACCUUGUGUGUUUGGAAAAGCGGGCUGCUUCCUAUCGGUCUUGGAUAAAAGGCAACCCAGAGCCCGGGUGCAUCCCUAACUCAUGCCCAAGGAAGGUCGUGCGGAGCCAGAGGACCUAGAAUGUAUAGUGCGCCUUCUGGGUUUGUCCACACAAUAGCGCAGGAACACAGCGACCCAAUAUAGUGAGAAGUGGCCGCAGCGCACACCCUGAGACCCUUCACCAGGCGGCCCACCCGGAGCCUGCCUACUCAGCCCCGCUACCACGAUAAGCCUGGAAUGUCAAAUAUUUGUUCUAGGAACCCAGUGAAACCUUGAGGUAAAGCCCCUCCCCUCCUCCCUCCCAUUCCGGAGCGCGCCUGCGUCAGUCCAGGCUUUCCGGUAAGGACACUCCCUUCCAACUAGUUCCUUCUCGACACCCCUGCAACCCAUCGUCCUGACUAUUUAAACUUCACAAGGUCUUCGCUACAGGCUCAGGUUCAGUGAGGCAGAGUCUUGGCUUCCCUACCCAGUUAUCCCAGAGCUACUGGUAUCGGUUUCUACCCACAACCUCCGAGCAAGGCUCCCCUUUCAACCUGUAGACCUCGCCUCCCGAUUCUCGGGAGAUCUUGCUGACUGUGGAAUCCCUGGCUGUUCCGAACCCCCUGGAAAGAAGCGGCUGUUCCCAGGUUUCUGCAAGGUAACGAAUCUGAAGAGUCAACAGAAUUGAGCGGCUCCAUUCAUUCGACUCUGGUUCUCUCAACCAGGCAUUCCCCAUAUUAAAACAAUUCCAGAACU
rnacentral:lncRNA from 1 species